rnacentral:misc_RNA from 1 species
GUAGGUGAACCUGCGGAAGGAUCAUUAUUGAAUGAAUCGGGGGGACUGUUGCUGGCCCGUCAAAGGGCAUGUGCACGUCUUCCCAAUUUGCCUUCUCCACCUGUGCACUUUUUGUAGACCCGGGAGAACACCUCUCGAGGCAACUCGGAUGGGGGGUCGCCGUCAAGGCUUCCCCUGCGUUCAACCUGGUCUAUGCUUUUCACACACACUUUGAAUGUCUCAGAAUGUCUUUCAAUGGCUUGCCGUAAAAAAGCAACGCUAUAAAACUUAUACAACUUUCAACAACGGAUCUCUUGGCUCUC